rnacentral:rRNA from 1 species
AGUAGUCAUAUGCUUGUCUCAAAGAUUAAGCCAUGCAUGUCUCAGUGCAAGCUGAAUUAAAGUGAAACCGCGAAUGGCUCAUUAAAUCAGUUAUGGUUCCUUGGAUCCUACUAUCCUACUUGGAUAACUGUGGUAAUUCUAGAGCUAAUACAUGCAACCAGAGUCCCGUCCAGCGAUGGUCGGGGCGCAGUUAUUAGACCAAAACCAAUCGGUCGGGUUCGCCCGUCCGUUGCUUUGGUGACUCUGAAUAACCACGGCUGAUCGCACGGCCUCGUGCCGGCGACGUAUCCUUCGAAUGUCUGCCUUAUCAACUGUCGAUGGUAGGCUCUGCGCCUACCAUGGUUGUAACGGGUAACGGGGAAUCAGGGUUCGAUUCCGGAGAGGGAGCCUGAGAAACGGCUACCACAUCCAAGGAAGGCAGCAGGCGCGCAAAUUACCCACUCCCGGUACGGGGAGGUAGUGACGAAAAAUAACGAUACGGGACUCAUCCGAGGCCCCGUAAUCGGAAUGAGAACACUUUAAAUCUUUUAACGAGUACCUAAUGGAGGGCAAGUCUGGUGCCAGCAGCCGCGGUAAUUCCAGCUCCAUUGGCGUAUAUUAAAG